UGCAGAUUUGCUUUAUCUCCCGGGGCAGAAAUUAGCCAGAACUCCGACAUGAUCUAAUCUUUCCCUUCGCUCCUGGACACUGUAGAAACACAAGGCAGAAACACCAGGAGAGUGAGUCAGUCCUGCGUCUCAGGCUGAAAUGGAACAUGACCUUCUCCAGAAUGUCACGGAAAGAGUGUGGCCGUUCGUCCUUUCUCAGGGUUGUUCCAUCCAGUUUCUGAACGAAGAAACGAAGCUUCCUCCUCCCCUUUUCCCUCCCAGCCUCUUCCAUUCGCCUUGCGCUGUAAGUCCAGUUCCAUUGCGGAGUUUGGGGACUUCACUAAACCAUCCAAGCGUAAUUAAGGAUUUCUGUUUGAUAAAUAUCGUCACUCAGAUUUUUGGGCACUUGUAGGCAAAAGUGAAAGCAAGAUGUAAAAAGCCCUCUGCUGAACACGCAGGCUGCAAAGGAUGCCACAGGCAUGAUGGAAUAUUGCUUUCCCCUGUGUUUUUCUUCCCAGGUUGGAUAGGAAGGAGCCGGAGGAAGGCAAGUCGCGGUGCAGAGAGACGGUGAUCAGCAGAACAACAUAGACACAACAGUCGCGAUAAUCCACGCGGGACAACCACACCGGCGUUAGCCGGACAGAGCGGGGCAAGACAGCGAGAAGCAGAAACCGCGCAGCAAUCUCCCGAGGCUCUCCCCGGAGCCUCCCCCGCCCGGCACGCCUUUGCUCUCAGGCUGGAUGAAGCAGCAGUGAAGGUGGAGGAAGGAAGGAGCCUGCAGCACGACAUGCCAUGGGAUAUGGAGAGUCUGCUGCACACUCUGGUGGUAACACAGCUAUGACAGCUCCUGUCUCCCCUGCCAUUUCCCUGGCUGGUCCUGCGUGUGGUGCCAUGUGAUCUCAAAGCUCUCUAAUUCCCUCAUGAUCAUGAUGUGUCUUUCUGCUCCCUUUGAUCCAUCAGUGCAAUGAACCUUUCCAUGAUUUUGCCUCUCUCUAUGAGUACUUCUUCAGAUGUCACACUAAGGAGCAAAACUCUGCCUCCAAACAGUCAUUAAGAGUACUGAAAUAUCCUACCUGAAGUAUCUCCCAAGGCAAAUUAGUCUAACAGAUAACCAAAAUUAAUUACCUAGACAAUUAUGACAUUGAUACUAAUGGGAAAGCUUAUGUUUUAAGCUUGCAAAACAGGAACCACAGAGCUGUAGUUCUCUAUAAAACAAUUUAUACAUCUAUUACAGGGAUUACCUGUUUAGUCUUCUAGUAAUGUGGUGGUGGGGGGUUCCCUCUGCUUAGAAAGGAUCUUUUAAAUCCUAUUUCCUAUUCCUGUGUGUUUUAUUAUUACUGUAGCAAUGUAUUAAAAAUUAUUGUCUAAAAUAUUUUGAUGAAGGAACUCUUAAAUAACUUGAUAAUGGAUAAUAAAAUUUUAUUUAAAUGAAAACAUUUUUUCUGUGUUCUUUUAGAGACUAGUGUGCAAACUACUUCUUUAUCAUAAUUCCUUAGCUGUGUAUCUAUUUCUUAAUUAUGUUAAAGAAUAUUGGUUAUUCACUCGCUCUGUACUGUGAAGUGCAGCAGAACCUUCCUGAUGAACUGCUUUUAUACACUGAAUGUGAAAUGCUGUUUCAAUGUGAAUGUACCUGACAACUCAUACCUAACAUAAUGAAAUGUAUGUCCGUACUGAAGGGGCACUGUCUCGUUGUCAUUAAAAUCAGUAAAGGUAA